CAUAAUUUUUCAAUUAAACAUUCGCUCUCGUUCCGAAUUUUCCGGAGAAGUAUUAUGAAUUUAUUUACAUGCGGAUGUUUCGAUAUCAACCUAUAAAAAAAAAACAAUAUCCCAAUAUUCUGUUCUAAAACAUUUAAAUGUUCACAUUCGACUUGAAAAUAACCUAUUUCAACGAAUAUACCACUAUGUACAUUACCUUUACACCAAUGUAAUAAUUUAAACGUUUUCGAACACACGACCUGACGCCGUUUAAGUACGUUGUUAUAAUUUGAAAUCGCAAUAUUACGGCCAGGUUUAACGUUAGAGUGUGCCCAUACAGGCGUUGACGAUGUAUGGACUAAAAACGAAACGUACGGUUGUGAGUUCUUACAUUCGUUCGUGGUAAAAACGUAAACGCAGUUUACACAAUAAUUUAGUAAAGUUUUACCUGUAUUUUCAAUGCGUAACAACAUGGGUACAAUCGUUCUAAAUUCUGAAGCGCUGCCAUUAUUAUUGCCAAUAAUAGUUAGUUCUGGUCCCGCACAUUGUACAGCAACAUUAAUGACCCCGAACGAUCAAUUGCUUCAUAGUUGACCGCAGAUAAAGUAUAAUAUUUUUGUAGGUGUACCGAAUUUUCGUAGGGAGGGGCCUUCAAUAGUUUCUAGGGUAGUUCAUAUCCGGGCACAGCCCGUAGUUCCGCCUAUAAUCACGUAUGGGCAGCGGAAAAACACUAAAAAGAUAACGAAAUUUCGCGUAUAGUAAGUGUCGGCGGUACAUUUUUUUUUUUUUUCAUUAAAAACGUUUCUAUUACGUAUUGUCAUCACGGCUGCUCGUAGUUGUAUUUAAUUGAACGUAAUGAACUAAUAAGCAACAGCUAUUGACGGUGGCGCCCGGACGGAAAAAAAACGGAAUCGCGUACAUAUAAUAUUUUAACCGACAUUAAGAAUAUCGAACAAAACGAAAACAUAUCAUUUGUUAAGAUAUUUAAAUGUAUGUGUGUGUGUGUGUGUGUGUGUGUGUGUGUGUGUUUUGUAUGUGUGUGUGUGCUACACAUUAUAAUAAGUAAACUAUAUGAUUAAGAGUGAUUAUCCGCCUAGACCUUAAGUAUUUAUUCUAAUGUAAUAUUAUGCGUACGUUAAAAGGUUACAACCCAGUAGAUUGUAAGAAUAUUAUUAAUGUUACAUGUAUUAUAGGGUAGUAGCCUACCCUAUUAGUAUAUAGUUUGAAAAUGUUCUAAUUGGUUAAGGAUUGGUGUGAUUCGGCGGAGUUUUUCGGUCAACAGACAAACAGUAUUAAUAUGUAUUAAAAACCACUAGGUAAACAACGGUUUAAGAUUACACAGGUUGAAGCUGUUAUACCGCUGCAGUGACCCACAAACGGUCUCUCCUAAACAGCUGUCAAAUCCGUGUAUGAAUGAAUCUGCUAUACAAAUCCAUACGCGCGAACAUCGAUAAAUGAAAAAAAAAAAAAAAACGAAAGAUAGUAAUAUUAAUAAUUAUCAAUUUAUUAGAUUGUUGAAAUUUUAAAUUUUCCGGAGUACUUACUAUAUGAUUGGAAUUUACAAUAUUUUAUUCCAAUAUGAAUUUAAAUAAUAAAAUGUAUUUUUAUUUCCAUUUGUUCUUAACGGUGGGUAUCAAUAAUACUUAUAUCUAAGACCGAUCGAAACGUUAUACGGUAAUACUAGUAAUUACUUUAACUAUUAUGGACGGUGGCAGUUGGAUUUCACAUCAGUUUCAGAGAGACCUGUUUGCUGGUGACUGUGUAGUCUAGUAUACGACGUAUUAUAGCUCGUCGUCUAUUAUCUUAAUAUUAGCGUUCACUACAAUACGAUUUUGCACAAAUUCGUUUUUUCGGUCAGUGGCGUAAGAACUGGUGACGUGUGCAAGCCCCAAACGGUUUAAAAAUACCACAACUAUGAGUGGUUUAUUUUUUUUAAAUUUUAUCUUACAAUCGGCUUUUAAAUUCUCGUUGUCGGUCUGGAUUAACAGAAGAAGAUUCAUGAUCCAUGAUUGUUAUUUACUAUAUCUCCUCCCGACACAAAUUUCUGAGCACGCCACCGGUAGAAACUGCCGCGCCGUGGGAAAUUAUUGAAAAAGUGCGGAUUUUCUAUGAGUGCGUGCGUUUAUGAUUUUUUUCUUUUUUACAAACCUUCUUAUUCCCAUCGCUCUUACCUCACGCUGCAGGAAAAGUCAGCUACUCUUAUUCCUGCCCUUCACGUCUUCUUAUCGGUUAUCCUUAUCUGUUCCACUAGCCUUCAUAAUAUCUUAGCCCCUCCUAAAAUACGCCGAAGUCUCUUUUUCUUUAUACACUUUUGUUUUCGAUUUCUAUCUCCUCAUUUCUCAUUCUCUCGACGAUCUUAUAAACCAUAUCUCCAUUUAUUUCUUGUGCAUAAUAUUAUACUUUUACCGCUUUAUUUCUCAACUCGUAUCUUUGGCUCAGCACUCGUAAGACAAUAAUAUUUUUUUCGAAAUGAAAUGAAUACUCUAGGAUCGCGUCGCCAACGCAACGGGUUGAUUUUUCUCGCGCAAAUGAACUCUAUUUCCGAUUUUAGUAUAAAUACCUAUAUUUUAUUUGUUUACGCCGAUUAGAGCAAAAAAUAACUCAACUAAUCCGUAUAUUAUAAACUAUUUUGGAAUUUUGAAAUAUUCAGUACAAUAAGUCAUCUCGUUUGCGUUCAGAUUCACGAACAAUAUUGUACAGAAACGUUUUUUUUUAAGGUAUCUAUUACUCUAAUCAAAUAAUAAAAAAAAAAAAAUUGUAAUUUAUACUGUACAAAGUGAGCGCAUCACUCGCGAAUUUGCGUAAUAACGAUUUUAUGGAGAAAAAAAAAACAGUACUCAAAUUAAAAGAGAACAUUAAAUAAUUCAGACACGUGCCUACGCUAAGUACCUAGUAAUGUUGAAAAUGUUCAUAUAAUUCUCGUAAUUUGUGCGCAAAUGAUCCGACGUAAAACCGGAGAAAAAAAUUAUGCGCAAACAACGAUAAUAGUCUCCGUCCGGUGUUCGGAAAUAAAAUCCGACGGCCGCCGACAAAACCGAUUUACGUGCAAACGUCGAAAAUACAUAAUAAUUAUCAUUGCAAACGCGUCGUUCCCUCGUACGGGGUCUCCGUUUUAAUAACGUGCUACAAAACUCGCCUCGUCGUUCCGAAAAACUCGAUUAUGCGAUUAUAUUCCCGCGUGCCGACGACUCGAGGAAAUCCGUUUCCCUCGUGCACGGUACACGGCGGAUAGGACACGCGCAUACCGGUCGCGUUGCGGACAGCGUUCCCGGAUAAGAUGGCAAUGCAACGUUAACAAUGCACCAGAAUCGCAUCUUAUUAUUUCUUAUAUUCGCUAACGAAUCCGCCUAUUUUUUCGCGAAUUAUUUCUCGUUGCGCUGCCGUGCUUUUAUUGGUGAGUGAGACGGGCGAUCCAGAAUCGUCCGACGAUCGAUACGUCCUAUCCGUUUAUGUACUACCUACGGCAUGUUUUUUAUCCACUUUGUUCAUAAAACAAUAGCGGCAAAGGAUACACAAUAAAACUGGACGGAAUCGGCUGAUUCGCAGAUAUUAUAACAGUUAUUUCAUGCAUCCGCGAAAAACCCGCGUUUAAACGUCUAAAAAAUAACAUUAUAUACCUAUUAUAAUACUAUGAUACCGAUAUAACUUACAAAAUUAUAAUAUGAUCAUUUUCGUUCGGAUAGCGCGUCCGUUCAAACCUUUUUAUUAUAUUAUAAUAUAUUAUUGCUCAACGUAACGAUAAUGAAACAGUGAAAAUACCACUAAAAAAAAAUUUUUAAAAAUUACCCGGGGGAAACCUUUCGAACUCUGUGUAAUACUAUAACGGAGAUCGCCCGCGCGACUUUUUUUUCUUUUUUUUCUUUUUUUUUUUUAUAAUUUUUCACCGAAUGUUGGUAAACACGAUGACAAUAAUAUUUUCUAGUUUUAAGACGAAUAAUAUAAUAAUCUAAUAUAAGUAUUUUAACGAUAUCGACAAUAUUUUACCUAUUGACAAUAAAACACAACAAUAAUAUUAUUAUAUACUGAUAAUUGAUGAUUAUUUUUAAUAUAAUAUUAAAAUCGUUUUUUUUUUCUACCUACGGUUUUUUUCGUUGGUUGUGUUCGUUUUAACAAAUAAUUAUACUUGUUAGAAUAUAUAUAUAUACAUAUAUGACGUCAUAUAUAAUGUACCUAAUUAUCGUUAAGCCUAUAUUAUAAUAAUAUGGAAAUAAUAUUUACGUCUCUCUCUCUCGUCAAACCUAACGUGUGCGCUUGUGUUCCCGUGUCUAUUUGUCUAGUCCGAUGUUAUUACACAAUAUACACAAUGUACACCUACUACAUUAUUAUUAUACGCAUAUACGAGUGGGUACUAUUGGCCUGUUGGUUAUUGUUAAUAUAUUUUAUUAUUUUUUUGUUUUCUACACCCCCGUAUUGUCAUUAUCGAUCUUCCCGUAGUCUAUGCCCAUACUCGUAGCCGUCGCAAACCGUAUAACCCGAAACUCCGCUGUGGAAAACGAUCCGAUUUUCAAACUGAAAAAAUAAAAACCCGUACGUUUAUUUUAUAUUGAAAUUUAUAUAGAUAAGAACGUCUCACCGACGUGUUCCGCUAGUAAAACCGUGUAAAUAGACGAAAUAACGUAACCGGCGGUUAAACUGGGGACUAUAUAGGUACAUUUACCAAAGAUCGAGGGGCGUCGCCGAAAACGUACGAAAAACGUAACGGGACUUUCGGGAAACCCAUCGUGAAGACAAUACUUUCAAAAUGUUUUUCUCUCGCGCACAUUAGUCCGUAAAAAUGUCAUACUAAUUGCGUUUAAAAAUAAACCGUACCGCUUCCUCAGAUAUUACCCUACCCGCGCUUAUUCCUGCUCGGUAAAAAUUAAAUUUAAAGAGAGGUUUGAACACGUACAGGUCCAAUCGAUAUUUAAGAAUUUAUUUUUAACCGUAGUGUUUAAAAUCUCAUUAAAAAUCUUUCAGUGACAAUACAGCAUCCAAACAUGAUAAUUUUACCUCAAUUAAGAAGGGGAGAGCUCCGUGCUCCUCCGUCCGCCCACGCUCUAACCGCCGUUCGCGCCUUUUUAAUAGACUACCGGGUAGAGUUCAAAACUAAAAUAUACAGCCGUGCGGGACUGCGAUAUUAUUUAACCUACGGACAAUCGUUUUAAUUACAUUUGAAUAAUAACUCCAUUCGUUUCGCGUUACAUUGUUAUUUGUUUUUGACGAGAGGACGGCGUCGAACGUUUAUAACGUGUUUUAUACGUUUUGUAACGUGUACCAUAAAAUAUUAGCUAUUACGCAAUAUACAUAUAUAUGUAUAUGUAUAUUAUAAUUAUAAUAAAUUUUAUUCGAUUUAAGUAAAAAUGUUUAGUAAUAUAUAGUUUAUAAGUUGUUAAUUUCACGGUUGAAAGGUACCGAGAGAAACGAUCGUAUUGAGUAGUGUUGCAACAACGCACCAUAACGCACUAAUACGCAUCAUACAGACGUGAAUAAUGAACGCUGAUUCUCACGUUUCUCGAUAUUGACAUUAUUUUCAUGUCAAAAUCGGUUUCGCGAAAAAUACCCAUCGCGUUUGCCAUUUAUAUCGGUGCAAUUCGUGUUUAUUAUUUAAAAUUUAAAUAGCUACAACUAAAGGGAUAGUGUACAAUUCGUAGGGGACUUGAACGCCCCCCCUCCCGCCGCUCGUAUUCGCAACUGUAGCCUACCUUUACAACUGUUGUGCAUUUCUAAAACAACGAUACGAUCAGACGUCUUUUAAAAACGUCCUGAAUCGUUUACUCGAGUACCUUAAACAAAAAUAAAAAAUCAUUAAUUACUGUUCUUAAUUUGUAAGCGUAAUAUUAUUAUUAUUAUUAUAUUUUAUAAGAAACAAAUCUGUGUUUUUGGUGACAAUAAUUUUCACGUAUAAUACAAUAUUAUUAUUAUUAUUAUUAUUAUUAUUAUUAUUAAACGUAUUUUACUGUUAUUGCUUGGUACCUAUGUUACUAUAUCGGUAUAAUGACUCAGCCGAGUCAAAUUCUGAAUUCUGUAUAGGUACCUAAAUGUAAACCUCGACAAUAAUUUUUCGUAGGUGAAUAAGAAAAAAAAAUAUAUAUACAUAUGUAUUAAGUGUGUUAUAAAUUUAUGAAUGUAUUAAUAAUCGAUUAAGAGACUUUUUGCUAAACGAAAAUUAUUUUACCGAAUAUUGUCUACGAAAAAACUAACUGACGAUAGCGAUUACAUAAUAAUAUACGUAUAUUGUAUUAUAAUUAUAUUUAUUAUUAACUAUAAGUAACGGAAAUUAACGUUAUAGUAGGUAUAUUACAAUAAUAUUAAGUUUUAGAUAAUAUCGCGUUGAUGACGAAGUUAAUUGAUGACAAUAAUAAUGUUGUAUAAUUUUAUAAUUUCUAUUAUCUUUACGUACUUGUAUAAUAAUCAUACGGUUGUAUUUAAAUUAUGAUAAAAAUAUUAUAAUCAUACCUAAUCGUAUUAUUAAUUUCGAUAUAUUUGAAUAAGGACUACCUACCGUCUACCUAUUUAGAUUUUUUUUUUUUUUUUUUAAUAUAAAAUUUGUGUGUAAAACCGUUAACGUUACCUAUGCGAACGCGUGACAAUAAUUAUUAUUAUUACUAUUAUUAGUCUAAUUUUUGUAUAAUAUACUAUUAUAAUUAUUAAUUAUAAUUGAGUAGCUAAUUUUUUGCACAAUAUUAUCGCGGCAAAUAUAUUAUUGCCUGUGUAAUGUAAUACGUACCGUACGUGCUAUUUAUUUAGUUAGAUUAAAGCGUUUUAUUAAUGUAUUUUGUAGUAUUGCCGUAGUGAUAAGAGUUCGUUAAUAAGACAACAAUAUUAUAAAAAUAACACUUAAUCGAUAAUCGAUAUUUUCAUAAUUCGUUUGUAUGUUAUUUUUCAUCUUCUUAAUUCCAUCAUGUCGUACACGAAUAGUAUUCAAUAAUUAUUUUGUGUACCUCACGUUUGAAAAUAAAAACGAAAAACAAUUUUUAUUAUUAUUAUCAUUUGUAAUAUAAUCGAUGUAAUAAAUGUAUACGAACGGGUUUUGAAAAAAAAAAAAUA